rnacentral:rRNA from 1 species
CGCGCAGGCGGUCGUUCAAGUCGCGUGUGAAAGCCCCCGGCUCAACUGGGGAGGGUCACGCGAUACUGAUCGACUCGAAGGCAGGAGAGGGAAGUGGAAUUCCCGGUGUAGUGGUAGAAAUGCGUAGAUAUCGGGAGGAACACCAGUGGCGAAGGCGACUUCCUGGCCUGUUCUUGACGCUGAGGCGCGAAAGCUAGGGGAAGGCAAACG